GCAGCGAAUCAAACAGAUACAUGUCUGAGUUUCAGAUCUCUUACACGUGUUUCAACCACCGUGAUACUCAACAGUUUGCAUCAUGCAUUGAAACUGCCCAAGGAAGUUUGGGAAAUAACAAGCAUGCUGGAAUAUAUCCAGGAGACAACAUGUGGCUGCAUCUGUAAUUUGGUUAUUGCCUCCUAUUAUGACCUAAAAUAACCUAAAUAAAUCGUCUACUUCGUGGUCCUUAAGUGAACUGAUCGGAAAGAUCCGAUUCAACUACUGUACUUUCGGCUCUAUAUAUUCGUAACAUAAGAAACUCCCGUGAAUGUUCAUGACAUCCGCAAUAAUCUUAUUUUCCAUAAUUCCAAACAUGAAUAGAACGUGAUUUAGCGUUGUGAUAUCUCCUGGGUCGCCAGGCAUUGCUCCAGGUUGCCUAUCACCGUCAGGCUUUGAUACCCAGUUUUCCCAUAAUCUCAUUCAACGAAAUGGAAGGAGGCACUUACGGAUACUCCGGUGGAGGGGGCCGGAAUCCAGAAUCCUUACGCAUCAGAUUAGUGCCACCUAUCUCAGACAAUCGUGCCGAAAGGUCUUUGGACUGCCAAUCCCACCACAGCUUGUCGAUCCAGGCAUGAUGAAGGUAGAAGAGCGGAUCACCCGGGCUGGAUCCACCUCUGGCCAUCUGAUGACAUUUUUUUUGUCCUAUUAGAUUUAUCUCGCACA
rnacentral:sRNA from 1 species